AGAGUUUGAUCCUGGCUCAGGAUGAACGCUGGCGGCGUGCCUAAUACAUGCAAGUCGAGCGAACGGACGAGAAGCUUGCUUCUCUGAUGUUAGCGGCGGACGGGUGAGUAACACGUGGAUAACCUACCUAUAAGACUGGGAUAACUUCGGGAAACCGGAGCUAAUACCGGAUAAUAUUUUGAACCGCAUGGUUCAAAAGUGAAAGACGGUCUUGCUGUCACUUAUAGAUGGAUCCGCGCUGCAUUAGCUAGUUGGUAAGGUAACGGCUUACCAAGGCAACGAUGCAUAGCCGACCUGAGAGGGUGAUCGGCCACACUGGAACUGAGACACGGUCCAGACUCCUACGGGAGGCAGCAGUAGGGAAUCUUCCGCAAUGGGCGAAAGCCUGACGGAGCAACGCCGCGUGAGUGAUGAAGGUCUUCGGAUCGUAAAACUCUGUUAUUAGGGAAGAACAUAUGUGUAAGUAACUGUGCACAUCUUGACGGUACCUAAUCAGAAAGCCACGGCUAACUACGUGCCAGCAGCCGCGGUAAUACGUAGGUGGCAAGCGUUAUCCGGAAUUAUUGGGCGUAAAGCGCGCGUAGGCGGUUUUUUAAGUCUGAUGUGAAAGCCCACGGCUCAACCGUGGAGGGUCAUUGGAAACUGGAAAACUUGAGUGCAGAAGAGGAAAGUGGAAUUCCAUGUGUAGCGGUGAAAUGCGCAGAGAUAUGGAGGAACACCAGUGGCGAAGGCGACUUUCUGGUCUGUAACUGACGCUGAUGUGCGAAAGCGUGGGGAUCAAACAGGAUUAGAUACCCUGGUAGUCCACGCCGUAAACGAUGAGUGCUAAGUGUUAGGGGGUUUCCGCCCCUUAGUGCUGCAGCUAACGCAUUAAGCACUCCGCCUGGGGAGUACGACCGCAAGGUUGAAACUCAAAGGAAUUGACGGGGACCCGCACAAGCGGUGGAGCAUGUGGUUUAAUUCGAAGCAACGCGAAGAACCUUACCAAAUCUUGACAUCCUUUGACAACUCUAGAGAUAGAGCUUUCCCCUUCGGGGGACAAAGUGACAGGUGGUGCAUGGUUGUCGUCAGCUCGUGUCGUGAGAUGUUGGGUUAAGUCCCGCAACGAGCGCAACCCUUAAGCUUAGUUGCCAUCAUUAAGUUGGGCACUCUAAGUUGACUGCCGGUGACAAACCGGAGGAAGGUGGGGAUGACGUCAAAUCAUCAUGCCCCUUAUGAUUGGGCUACACACGUGCUACAAUGGACAAUACAAAGGGCAGCGAACCGCGAGGUCAAGCAAAUCCCAUAAAGUUGUUCUCAGUUCGGAUUGUAGUCUGCAACUCGACUACAUGAAGCUGGAAUCGCUAGUAAUCGUAGAUCAGCAUGCUACGGUGAAUACGUUCCCGGGUCUUGUACACACCGCCCGUCACACCACGAGAGUUUGUAACACCCGAAGCCGGUGGAGUAACCUUUUAGGAGCUAGCCGUCGAAGGUGGGACAAAUGAUUGGGGUGAAGUCGUAACAAGGUAGCCGUAUCGGAAGGUGCGGCUGGAUCACCU
rnacentral:rRNA from 1 species